rnacentral:pre_miRNA from 1 species
CAAUGAUGAUGAUGAUGAUGAUGAUGAUGAUAAUGAUGAUGACGAAAAACAACAACGAUCAAAAGGGAAAAGUCCACACAAUGUACGUUUUAAUCUAUCAUCAUCAUCACCAUCACCACCAAUU